rnacentral:rRNA from 1 species
UACGGAGGGUGCAAGCGUUGUUCGGAUUUAUUGGGCGUAAAGGGCGCGCAGGCGGUUUUCCAAGUCUGAUGUGAAAGCCCCGGGCCUACCCCGGGAAGUGCAUUGGAAACUGGGAGACUUGAGUACGGAAGAGGAGAGUGGAAUUCCUGGAGUAGGGGUGAAAUCCAUAGAUAUCAGGAAGAAGACCGGUGGCGAAGGCGGCUCUCUGAUACGAUACUGACGCUGAGGCGCGAAAGCAUGGGGAGCAAACAGG